ACAGAAUAAACAAUUUGUUAGAUAACUUGUACCUGGUUUACAGAAUAAACAAUUUGUUAGAUAACUUGUGGUCUUUCUAUACUUGUGUCUAAUUUCAUUCAGAAUUUAAAAAAAAAAAUAUCUUGAAUUUGUAAAUACUAAAGGUGUUUUAACUAUACAAGCAUUUUAGCCGGCUCCCUUUCCGCCAUCCCCCACCCCCCAAACGCAACCAGGCAUUACUACAGCCCCUACCCCAGGGAUCAUGAAAUUUAUAAUUUUGGUAGAGGCAUCCUUGCUUAUCAUUACUAAAUAUCCCUUUACAAUACUAGAAACAAAGAUCAGUUUUACAUUCCAAGAUGCAGGUUAGGGUUUUCCAAAAAAUCAUUUCUACCUGGCUCCGUAAAACAGGCCAUCUCAAUCAAUUCAUUCCGCAAAAAUAUAAUAACAGACAUUACAAGACCACCAUCAUAUAACUGUUUUGAAAAACGAUACAACAACAUUAUCCAUACAAAGCUGAGACACAAUUGUAUAUUUCGUUAUGAUCUUUAAAAACGAAAUAUUACAAAUUCUCCGGUUUGUGCAUGUGCACAUAACGAAGAUGUAUAUCAUCUCUUUUUCGCUUGUGAAAAUUACUCUAGAGCUUGACUUGGUCACUAUUGAUAUAGAAUUGUUAUUAAGCGGUGAUGUUACAUGUAAUUUGUCUCGGCGAACUAAUAUGAAUAUGUUUUUAGCUGUUCAUAAAUUUAUAGAAGAAAUUUGUAGAUUCAUCUAAUUAUUGUACAUUUUACUUCAUUAUUAUCUUGCAUGACAUAUUGUAAUAUUUUAGGAGAGGGACGUGUAAGCUGUUAAAACUUGUUCCCUAUCCUUUUGAUUUGAUCAAUAAAAUAUGUUCAAAACCAACAUUACAAUAUAUCCAGUUUGUUAUUUGAGAAGAAGAGUUUUAAAGAAUUGCAGACCAAUAGCAAUAGGUCACCUGAGUGACCAAGGUGACCUAAAAUGAUCAUUAUAAAUGGUAUUUAUAAGUUCAUUUAAGACUUUAAACUGGAUCGGAGAACAGUUACAUAAUUUAUAUUCUGAAAACGGCUCCUCAAGUAGCCAGGUAUUAACAUUUUACAAGGGGACAAAUUAGAGAAAAAAUUGGUGAAUCUCUUAUAUUCACAUUCAGAUGAAUAUUCUUAGGAUUUCCAGUUGCAUUCUAGAAAUGAGUUUGAAACAUUCAAGAAUAGUCGCUUUUUCAUUUUUGUAAAAGAUUACUAAAAUAAAAUCCACAAAUCAGAGAGAAACGCACAUGAAUCCAAGUACAGGACUGCAGUUUUAACGAUUGAAUGAUUUUAUCACACAAAUUUUGAAAAUGUUUAUAUGAAACUUAAAAGUAACAAGAGGCCCAUGGGCCACAUCGCUCACCUGAGCAGCAGUUCCUAGCAAUAAACAAGUUUGAGCAAAACUACGUGCAUCAUUAUACCAGCACUUUGAUUAAGAAAAUAUUCCAAGGUAACAACUAAAAAAUCAUUGUGCAAUUACCAUCUCCCCUUGUACAGGCCUAAUGGUCCUUCAUUUUAAACAAAUUUAAUGUAAGAAUGUUUUGUGCCAAGUUUGAUUGAAUUUAGAGAAGAAGAUUUUUAGAAGUCGCCAAUGCACUUUCACUAUCAUCUUUACUUGUAGAAGGGUGUGACCCUUCAUUUGAACAAACUUGAAUCCCAAUUACCCGAGGAUGCGUUUUGCCGAGUUUAGUUGAAAUUUGCUCAGUGGUUCUGCAGACGAUGUCGAAAAUGUAGAAAGGUUACAGACGGACAGACGACGGACAACAGAUGGUUAAAAAAGCUUACUUGAGCUUUUCAGCUCAGGUGAGCUAAAAGGUUUUAAGAGCGCAUGCUAAAAAUCAAAAUUUUCCAAAAUAUUCUUCGUAUGGGAAUAAAAUAUGAUGAAGUUGUCCAUCUAUCAGAUUCAAAAUAAAUUAUCUACAUGGAUAAAUGUUGUAAACGAAUAUGUAUAAAUCAAAGUACUGACAGUAGAGCUGGGAGUUAGUUACAAUUAUAAUAUCGAUAAAUUUGAUAUGUUCACAUCUAUUAAUCCAUCAAUGACCCGAGAACAGUUGAAGAAAAGGUUUCCUCUCAAAAACUUCUAAUUCAAUUGAAACCCCCCACUUUCUCCUAAUAAGGUGUUAAGAAUCGUGUCUAGCAAAAGAGCAGUUGAUUCUUUAGUAGCGACAAUUCGGAAUUAGGGGUAAGCAAUCAACAAAGUCGUGAAAUUUAAGUUUUACUCCACUAUCUGUAUGGAAAGUUUUUGUGUUAAUCAAAUGGAGAGAGGCAAAUUUGAUUCCUCAUACGACAGACACUUGUAUGAUUAAUUAACUAACAAAUUCUGAGUUGCCUAAAUAGGUGCUGUUUUACAAGCACGAAAUAUUCUGAUUUUACAUUCUAAAUAUGAUUGUUUUAUAUAACAUUCGAGUGAAUGAAAUGAUGUUUGUUGAAUAAUAAAUAUUUCCAAAACUUGAUCCCAAUCAAGGGAAUUCGGAAAUUAACUCUCCAUUUAGGAUAUAAAAGAAAUGAAUAGCCAGAAAAGGAUUAAUUUCAGAAUGAAAAAAAAAUAUGUAUGGGAAUGAUCUGAUGUAAACGUAACCGAAAUGGGGGGAAAAGGGAUGGGUGGGUGGGCUACCAUAUAGUAGGUUUGUAGAUUUUCCAGAGGGGGUGUAUCUGGCUAUAAACGGGGGUAAGUCCUUCUAUAUAGCCACAUUUCCGAGGGGGAAGAUCUACUGUAUGGCCAUUUCCCUAGGGGGAGAGAGAGAGAGAGAGAGAGAGAGAGAGAGAGAGAGAGAGAGAGAGAUGGCUAGGGGGAAAGGCUACUAUACAACACCGGUCUGGUGGACCUGACAACCGUUGUUCGCAAGUUACAUGCGUUUCUUAUCCGUAAACAUGCGGUUGGUGUCCAUUACAUCUUCGGUUGACCCGCUGCCAGUCCGGUAGUAGUCCGGUCGUGAUUUAUGUCCACCGGUCAUUAAUUAACGGAUGCAAACUGGACGAGUACGUACAGAAAAAGAAACGCACGAUUUCCGAUUUUUUAAGCGUAUAACAACGCAUAACUACCGUACACUAAGCGGAUUUUGAAAAUGCUCAAAACUUUCCGUCGUAUAGACCGAACAAGGAACGCUUUGGCCGAAAGAUAAAUGGACAAGAAACGCAACUUAGGAACGGAGACGAACGGGUUGAAAUUUGUGUUACAUAUGUAUCCAUUGCACGUCCGUUAACUUUAAAUAUCCGGUGAGGUCUGACUGAGAUUCGGCUCGUCAGUCCAAACAUUCAGCCGAGAUUAGUGUGAUUACUGCUUAGGACAUUCUUGUGAAACAAAUGAAUAAUCACUUUGGUUUAAAAAAAAAAAUGUUCGGUACAAUGUAAACGCGAGUUAUCUUUCUUUCAGUUAAAUACAAUCAGAAAUGGCAUCGCCUUAAUUGAUGAGAAAAGGAAGGUGUAUUAUUGUUUUUCGCCCACACAAUCAAUAAACUUUUUUCCUUUACCUAAGAAUUAAAAAAAGUCUUUCACCACUUUCCUUAUUCAUUUUCUACCUGAAAACGGAAGACUCGGGAGCGAGUGAAUCAUUCUGGAAAAGGAAAACUUUGUGCUGAUGUUUUUGCAAUUUAGAGAGGCCUUGUAUGCAAAUGUAUGCACAAAGAUAGACGACAAAAGUAUUUAGAAUUUGUCCUGCAGCUCCGAUCGAAAAACGUAACACGUCGGAGGUUUCGUAAAUUGUUUUAGUCAGAUUUACGCAGCCUUCAAAUAUGGAUGAAUCUAAUUCAGGUAAUAAUAGUACUUGUACACCUCUCUCUCUCUCUCUCUUACUCUCUCUCUCUCUCAUUGGAUCAGGGAGUUCAUACUCGAAGUUCUGAAUACAUAGUAAACUGAUUGUUGCGUAUUUUUAUAUUUUCACUUGGAGCCACAUCAUCUCAUGAAAAUUUGAAUUCAUCCUAUAGUUUGCCUGUAGUGUUAAAUAUCAGAAAUGCAUUAGAGUAUGUACAUGUUAUGUACGGUUAACAUAUUUUUGAUUGUUGUUGAAACCUAAAAAUUACAAAUAUUUUAUCAACAUUAUAUUGAAUAUACCGGCCGCUAAUUCUAAGAAAUGUUAUCAUCAAGUGAUAUCAACAAAACAAUACUCACGAGCUUGUUGUUUGUUUACAAAUAUAUAUAACGGCCGAAGCAGUAAGGGCUAGCCCCUAGUACCUAGUUACUAUAGUACUGUAAAACGAGACUUCAUCUAAUGUCGGGCGCUCAGCGAAGGAACAGUCACUAUACCAAUGUUAAAACAUCUUUUAAAAGUUGACAGGGCGCUGGGAAUCGAGAAUCGAACCCGAACCUAUAACAGGUGCUUGCCUCCGUAAAACAAAUUGUAAACAAUACUAUAUUCUAAAGUUAAGAUAGGCGUAUUGUUUACAUUUCUUUAAUGGAAGCAACCUCCUGUGGAAUCCUAGUGCUGCUGAAUGUGCCGCCGCUAUGGUACGAUGACACGAAUGUACGAUGUUACGAUGACGAUGGUAGCAUCGUUAUGAGUACAGUACCAUCGCCGCGAUGGGACGAUGAAGCGCAAUGGGAUUCCAUAGCGUUGUGUUGUGUGGCCGAGUGCCCGAACCUCUAGACUAUACCGCAACUGGUUUCACCAUACAUAUGAUACACCCACAGACACCUGAAGUGUGAGUAGCGUGUUAAUUUCCCCUUCUAGACCCAGUGAAAACAAAAUUGAACCAGUUUCACAAGUGAUUAUCUCAAAAGCUUACAGAAAGUAGAAACUUGAUAUGUGCAGAACGACUUAUGAAGGUGAUCGGCGGUGAUUGGAUAUCCAUUGGGUAAGGGGAGUGGGGGUGUAUGUGCAUAAGAUCUAAGUAACUCUAUUCCCACUGCAGGUGCCUGUGCAUAGACGACGUGUUCCAAAAAUAACUACAUUGCACUAAGCGACCGGUGCCGGCAGCGAUAGCCUAGUGUUUCGUAACCGGGGGUGGGGGUUACCGGGUUCGAAUCUUUUUUAAUUCCCACAACACGUCCAACCUAAGGCGUUUAAUUAAAAUCGACAUUGACUGUUCCGUCGCCAACAUACACAAAAGAAUAUAAAACUAUAUACAAUGUAUUAAGAUGGCCUAUACGUCGUUGUGUUUUUUCUGCAAGGGCUCUUUGCAUGAACAUAUUUAAAUGUUAGAAUUAAGUGAAGAUCAAGAAAAUGAGACAGGGUCACCACCCACAGUGGGUCCAGGGAACAUCUAUAUACUGCUAGCUAUUAGAUUUCCGAUUAACUCUGUGACAUAGUUGUUUUGGAGGCUGCAUACACGUUCUUAUCCCUGUAAUGAAAGAUAUCUUAAUUUAGUUGUCUUGUCUGUCUGAAAUGAUACUUCCUUGUUUUACUAAAAAUGUGACGCCACCCCUCUUCUCUCUAUGAAACAUUCUAUUCUACAGAACUUUGAUCGUUUCAAUGGGUUUUCGCCCUUCCGUUAUCAUUUCCUUGAUCUGCUAAAAUAUGUAAGGGGUUAAAGCGGAAUUUUAGUAACGUUUACACACACACACACACACACACACACAGAGAGAGAGAGAGAGAGAGAGAGAGAGAGAGAGAGAGAGAGAGAGAGAGAGAGAGCGUAUUUCCAAACCGUUAGGGUCUCAUGGGGCGUGACAUACAACACUUAUGAUUACACAAACAUAGCAUGACAACAGACAGAAUAAACUCUGUAUAACAAUAUGAAGUCUACAUUCCUUCAUAAACUAAAAUUUUUAGCUGUUUAAACUUAUUAUAAAUUUUAUAAGUUUAUAAUAUCGAGUCUUUAAAUAAGUAACGUAUACUGCUUAAUUUAUAUGUAGUGAUGAACUAAGCUACUAUAGGCAUGCUCAAAUUUGCUCAAAGUUAUACCAGAUAUGUUAAGGCACAUAGUAUGUAUGAGGUAUUGACAAAGAUAUGAUAUACAUAUAUGUCUUACGUAAAUAAAUUCAAUUAAGUACACACACUAUCUAGAGAUACACAUAACAAGACGCAACACGAGUCGGUAGAUAUAUAUGAACUGAGUUCCAAACAAGGAUUUUUAAAUAUAUAUAUGAAUUACUGCGAAAUGAUGUUCAUUUGUAUGUACCUGUGAAUACCUGUGCAAAAUCUCCGUUAGCUUUCGUCAUUGGUCGACUCGGAUCACGUGUUUACAUAGCUGGACGCCAUUUUCUUCGCUUGGUGGUUAGUGUCAACUUGCAGGUGCCCGUUACUGGAAAAAAAAGUUGAAGAAAUUUUUGAAGUGGAUUUAUUUUAAAUUCUGCUCGAAUUAGCAAUGGCUGAUCACAAGCCAAGAUUGUGUCACCUUGUGAAAUGGCCUGAUUUUCAGGGCUACGGAUUUAACUUACACGCAGAAAGGGGCAAAGCAGGGCAGUUCAUAGGGAAAGUGGACGACGGGUCUCCGGCCGAAGCAGCGGGUCUUAAGGAGGGGGACCGAAUCGUAGAAAUAAAUGGUACAAAUAUAGGAAAUGAAAAUCACCAGCAAGUUGUUGGGCGGAUCAAGUCGCUUGGUGACGAGGUUAAUCUUUUGGUUGUGGAUCCAGACACGGACAAGUAUUAUAAAGAUAUUAAACAAAUUGUGAGAAGUGAUCUCCCAGAAGUUGUAGAAAGGAGUGCAGUAAGGAAUGAAACCCAGGAAAAUUCAGCAGAACCAGAACCCACCCCUGAACCACAAGAAGCUAGAGACCCCUCACCAGAAAGAGAGCCUUCUCCUGAACCAGUGAGGGAGCCUUCUCCUGAACCAGUGAGGGAGCCUUCGCCUGAACCAGAGAGGGAGCCAUCACCUGAACCAGAGAGAGAACCCUCACCUGAACCAGAACGUGAACCAACACCUGAGCCACCCAGAGAACCAUCGCCAGAACCAGAAAGGGAACCUUCUCCUGAACCAGAAACCAACAAGGAAAAUGAAGAGCCAAGUGAACCCGAACCAACUGUGAUUGCAGUUAAUAGUGUUACCAAUACAGAGCCAGAUAGUAAAUAUUUAGCAAGACUUUGUAAUAUAACCAAAUGGCCCGACUUCCAGGGAUACGGGUUCAAUCUUCAUGCCGAGCGGGACAGAACAGGUCAGUUUAUUGGAACCAUAGAUGACGGAUCCCCUGCACAAGCAGCCGGUCUGCAAGAAGGAGAUAGGAUUAUUGAAGUCAAUGGUACAAAUAUUGAAAGCGAGAGCCACAGGCAAGUGAUAGAGAGAGUAAAGGCUGGAGGAAAUCACACCACGUUACUAGUGGUGGAUUCAGAAGCUGAUGAAUACUUCAGAAAGAAUGGAAUAUCCAUAUCAGCCUCAUCACCCAUAGUCACGAAGCUGUCAAAUCCUGCCAGAGGAGGUAAGGAAUUCUGUUGUUAUUCAGUUCUGUAAUUGGGGAUAUAUAUUUUAGCUUAAUGAAAUUGUCAUCUCAGAUGUUGGAAUUUUUUAAUGAUUUGCUUUCCAUUAUGGAUUAUGUAAUGACUUGUUAGAAUUACUCAAUCCAUUUUCUGACUUGCACAUGUGUAUACAUUCAUCUACAUGUAUGUGCAUUUAGUGGAGGGACAAAUAUGUAAUGAUGCAUUGUCUAAACAUAAACAAAAUUCCUCAUCUAAGCCAAACAUUUGAAUUUUGAUUUUAUUUUGAAAAAUGCGCUAUAACCCCCCCUCCCCUUCUCACCUCAUGAUUUCAAACACCUAGAUACAAAAUGAGGGAAACUCUGAAUACUGUGUACAUUUAUUUAUCUUCUCCCUCUCAUACAUUUAUUUUUCUUCUCCCUCUCCCUUUCAUACAUUUAUUUUAUCUUCUCCCUCUUAUACAUUUAUUUAUCCUCUCCUUCUCAUACAUUUAUUUAUCUUCUCCCUCUCAUACAUUUAUUUAUCCUCUCCCUCUCAUACAUUUAUUUAUCCUCUCCCUCUCAUACAUUUAUUUGUCUUCUCCCUCUCAUACAUUUAUUUAUCCUCUCCCUCUCAUACAUUUAUUUAUCCUCUCCCUCUCAUACAUUUAUUUAUCUUCUCCCUCUCAUACAUUUAUUUAUCUUCUCCCUCUCAUACAUUUAUUUAUCCUCUCCCUCUCAUACAUUUAUUUAUCCUCUCCCUCUCAUACAUUUAUUUAUCUUCUCCCUCUCAUACAUUUAUUUAUCUUCUCCCUUUCUUUACCUUUUUUUCUUAGUUCCUACCUCCUUCCUUCCCAAACCAUUUCUCCUCUCAGGGCUUGAAGCUAACUUUUUAUGUCACCAGUCCAGUCGGACUGAUGGGGUAUAAUUUCAACCAGUCCACAGAAAAUUUUACCAGUCCAACAGAGUUUUCCAGAAAUAAUUAAACAUAUUUCAUUAAUGUUAUUAAAAUGAAAUUAAACUCAAUAUGUCGAUCUCAGAUAAUAUUGUAACACUUUAAAAAUGUGGGAUUUAUAUUUAUGAAUCAGCUUCGUCUGAUAUCUACAGAUCGAAGCAUGCCAAAUGUGUGUAUAAAAUUUCAUAAGUAUAUUUUCCAAAAUGAUGCUUUAGAAAAUUAACCAGUCCCAUCGGACUGACUAGAACAAAUGUCAGUCUGUCCGCCAGACUUUUAACCAGUCACAGACUGACGGGCAUAUGUUAAUUUCGAGCCCUGCCUCUUAUCUAUUACUAUGGCCACCCUGCCAUAAUAACUUUGAAAAGUUAAAGAAUCGUCAAAUUUGUAAAAAGUCUUCAUCAUGGUUUUAUUUCCUCUGUUUAAAACCACCAAGUAUAAUCAAUAUUGAGAGGAAUGUGGUGACAUAGAGGGAUGGUUGAAGAUGAACAUUUGGGAGUGAGGAGAGGGGGGUGUUUAUAGCCAUUCUUAUUUAAUAUCAUCUCAUUUGAAUUUGCAUCAGAAUUGAUUGUUUAAAUACAUGUGUUACUUAAAAAAACACUUAAACUAAACGGUUUUUUUAAAAUUCAACACAACACAGGUGCUCAGUAUCUGUCAAGUGUUAGGGAUCCUUAGUACCAUUAGAUAUGUAUUUAUCAUUUUAUAAUUGUGGAAGUGACGGACUGGGGAUAUAGAACAUGAUCAUUAUCAGGAAAAUAAGUAACAAUUGUAAAUGAACUGUCCAUUGUUUUUGAGGGGAUUGGCAGGGAUUGAUAAUGUGAUAAUCGUGAAGUAGUUCUGACUAGUCCGUCUAGUGCUGCCAGCUAUAAUCACCGUCAUUGACACCCUGACAAAUUAUGAACUCCUCUGUGAACAAUGAGAUAUCAGAGGAUGAUUUAAUAGUAUUUACGUACUUUGUGUUGUAUACAGACUCAAUACAAAAGUAAACCUUUCACCAGCAGUUGUUGGAAACAAUACAAUAGUGUCAUGUGCAACAGAUGUGUAAUGUCACAAUGCAUUUACUUGAACAAUGUCCAGAUCAUAUUAAAAUAAAAGGGAACUAGAUUAAAAAUAGACACCCUUUCAGGAAGGGGAAAAGGGAAUAAUAUCAUGAAAAGGACAUAAAUCCCGGCCUGUUUUAGAAGCACUGACUAGAUGUUUUCCUAUUGGAGAUGCACAUGAUGUUCUUAGCUCAUUGUGAUAUGUAAAGUUAACAACAUAUGCUGACCAAAUACAUGGGGAAAAAAUGCUAUGUUGGGUCAGCACCAGCCCCGGUCAAUGGAACUACG